AGACUGCACGUCAGGAGGUCCUAAAGGAGAGACAGAGUGGCCGGCUGCCCUCCCCGACCUUCCCUCCAAGGGGCCGUGUUGAGUCAGCAUGGCCAUCACCACACAUGCGGAAGCCGCUGGAUCCAUCCCAGAAGUGAUUUUCUGCUCGUGAAAUUUAUAUGCUCUUGAUUUGUUCCCUGAAGACUAAGGCUGCAGGCUUCUCAAGGUCCAGGACAAACGUGUACUCAGGUGUUUCAUGUAAAGCCGGGUUCACCUGGGAAGACCGUUGGGCUGCAGUAAGAAUGGCUUUGAAUUUCAGUCAGAAGAGAGGAGCUGGGAGAAGAGAUUUUUUGAGUGACAUUCUCGGCAGAAGGUCCCAGGGGACGUGCGUCUGUGCAGGGCUCUCUGGUGGACACCAAACACACUGCUUGAGAGAAGCCUUCGAUCAGCCAAGAUGCACACAGACAUGGCAGACAAGUUCAGAAGUGUCACCGUCUCUACAAUAAGACCCCUGUGCUGGAUAUUCUAAACGUGACCCGUGGAUGAAGCUGGGCUUCUGGCAAGUUCUCUACAUGAAAUGCAUUGUGUCGAUGACCUCUCUUAGGAAAAAACAUGCUUCUCUCGGACAACUCAUUUGACUUUAGUUUAUGGACAAUGUGAAACACAUAUUUAACCUCUCCUAUUAGGCCCCUAGGCACUUUAGAUUUAUAGCUUAUCUCAAGAAAAGAAUAGAAUUAAUUUUUCUGUGCUAAACCUCUACCUCGUUUUAUUGUUUCCCUAGUUUCUUCUCCCCCAACUCAAUUUUUACUGUAGCUGAGUUUUUAUCCAUUCAAUUUCAUUAUGAA